UCAAGAACCCGUGACCCAGCAAUGCUGAACAGCGUGAGCUCUGGCUCUAAGGACCCAGUCUCCCGAGCUGGGCAGCUGCUCUCCAAGAGAGGUCAGACUCCAAGAUGGACUGUUUCCUGACCAUUGCUCUUUGCAGAGGCAAUAUCAAAGAGCUGAUGGACUCUGAACACUAGUUGGGUUUUUCUUUUUCUGGCAACAAAAUUAAACCCUCGCCCAGGGAUUUAUCCGGUCUUUUGCUGAUCUUGGUGUGAACCGAGCAGCUAAAUCCCCGCGCACAGCACCAACUGUCUCCUGGGGUGCUUCUUAAAACGUGGCUACGCACGAGGAGAAAACAUCGAGUCUUGUUGAAGUCAACACACAGAGCUAAUCUCUCUCUGGAGUAAGGAAAGAAUUAGUCUCACUGCAAAGGAUGGCAGAGUCAGGGGUGGUCUCUCAGCUGCUCCGAGAAGGGGGCGUCUUGGGAGAGGAUGAAGUGUGCCUGGAACCCGUCUUAAUACCACUGAUAAGCCUGUGAGACCGUGCGAUUGUACAGCUUUGUGCUCCCAUCCCCCUAAGAGUAGCUCAGGAACUACCUGCUUGAAACCCAGCAACACCUCUGAGCUCACCUCUCAGGACGCCAUUGAGCUUCAAGUCUGAGGCAAAUGAAGUCGGUCAGAGAGCGGGUCUUCCACAGAACCCAAGAAAAGGAACAUGAUGUUGUUCUAAAAGACAAAAUAUCUGGACUGGAGAUGGCUCAGUGGUUAAGAGCACUGACUGCUCUUCCAGAGGUUCUGAGUUCAAUUCCCAGCAACCACAUGGUGGCUCACAACCGUCUGCAAUCGGACUUGAUGCCCUCUUCUGGUGUGUCUGAAGACAGCUACCGUGUGCUCAUACACAAAAUAAAUAAUACUUCUUUAAAAAAAAGACAAAA